AGAGUUUGAUCCUGGCUCAGGAUGAACGCUGGCGGCGUGCUUAACACAUGCAAGUCGAACGAACCUUCGGGUUAGCGGCGGACGGGUGAGUAACGCGUGGGAAUCUGCCCUCAGGAGGGGGAUAACGGCUGGAAACGGCCGCUAAUACCCCAUAUGUCGAGAGGUGAAAAGAAAUUCGCCUGAGGAUGAGCCCGCGUCUGAUUAGCUAGUUGGUGGGGUAAGAGCUCACCAAGGCGACGAUCAGUAGCUGGUCUGAGAGGAUGAUCAGCCACACUGGGACUGAGACACGGCCCAGACUCCUACGGGAGGCAGCAGUGGGGAAUUUUCCGCAAUGGGCGAAAGCCUGACGGAGCAACGCCGCGUGAGGGAUGAAGGCCUCUGGGCUGUAAACCUCUUUUCUCAAGGAAGAAGACAUGACGGUACUUGAGGAAUAAGCCACGGCUAAUUCCGUGCCAGCAGCCGCGGUAAUACGGGAGUGGCAAGCGUUAUCCGGAAUUAUUGGGCGUAAAGCGUCCGCAGGCGGCCCUGUAAGUCUGUCGUUAAAGCGUGGAGCUUAACUCCAUUUAAGCGAUGGAAACUACAGGGCUUGAGUGUGGUAGGGGCAGAGGGAAUUCCCGGUGUAGCGGUGAAAUGCGUAGAUAUCGGGAAGAACACCAGUGGCGAAGGCGCUCUGCUGGGCCAUAACUGACGCUCAUGGACGAAAGCCAGGGGAGCGAAAGGGAUUAGAUACCCCUGUAGUCCUGGCCGUAAACGAUGAACACUAAGUGUCGGGGGAAUCGACCCCCUCGGUGUCGUAGCCAACGCGUUAAGUGUUCCGCCUGGGGAGUACGCACGCAAGUGUGAAACUCAAAGGAAUUGACGGGGGCCCGCACAAGCGGUGGAGUAUGUGGUUUAAUUCGAUGCAACGCGAAGAACCUUACCAGGGUUUGACAUCCUGCGAAUCCCUUGGAAACGAGGGAGUGCCUUCGGGAGCGCAGAGACAGGUGGUGCAUGGCUGUCGUCAGCUCGUGUCGUGAGAUGUUGGGUUAAGUCCCGCAACGAGCGCAACCCACGUCUUUAGUUGCCAGCAUUCAGUUGGGCACUCUAGAGAGACCGCCGGUGAUAAACCGGAGGAAGGUGUGGAUGACGUCAAGUCAUCAUGCCCCUUACAUCCUGGGCUACACACGUACUACAAUGCUACGGACAAAGGGCAGCAAGCUCGCGAGAGUUAGCAAAUCCCAUAAACCGUGGCUCAGUUCAGAUCGUAGGCUGCAACUCGCCUACGUGAAGGAGGAAUCGCUAGUAAUCGCAGGUCAGCAUACUGCGGUGAAUACGUUCCCGGGCCUUGUACACACCGCCCGUCACACCAUGGAAGUUGGCCAUGCCCGAAGUCGUUACUCCAACCCGC
rnacentral:rRNA from 1 species